rnacentral:rRNA from 1 species
UCUUUUUGUUUAAAAUUUAAAGUCUAGCCUGCCCAAUGAUAUAUUUAAUGGCCGCGGUAUUUUGACCGUGCUAAGGUAGCAUAAUCAUUAGUUUUUUAAUUAAAAACUGGAAUGAAGGGUUGGAUGAAAAAGUAACUGUCUUUAUUUUAUUUAAUUAGAAAUUUAUUUUUAAGUUCAAAAGCUUAAAUCAUUUUAAAAGACGAGAAGACCCUAUAGAGUUUAAUAAAUUAAUUUAUUUAAAUGUUUGGAAUUUUAUAUUUUAAUAUUUUUUAUUUAUUUAAUUGGGGUGAUUAAAAAAUUUAAUAAACUUUUUUUUCUUAUAUAAUAUUGAUUAAUAAAUUAUUGAUCUUAAAAUUUUGAUUAUAAGAUUAAAUUACCUUAGGGAUAACAGCGUAAUUUUAUUGGAGAGUUCAAAUUGAUAAUAAAGAUUGCGACCUCGAUGUUGGAUUAA